GACGAACGCUGGCGGCGUGCUUAACACAUGCAAGUCGAACGAUGAUGCCCAGCUUGCUGGGUGGAUUAGUGGCGAACGGGUGAGUAACACGUGAGUAACCUGCCCCUGACUCUGGGAUAAGCGUUGGAAACGACGUCUAAUACUGGAUAUGAUCACUGGCCGCAUGGUCUGGUGGUGGAAAGAUUUUUUGGUUGGGGAUGGACUCGCGGCCUAUCAGCUUGUUGGUGAGGUAAUGGCUCACCAAGGCGACGACGGGUAGCCGGCCUGAGAGGGUGACCGGCCACACUGGGACUGAGACACGGCCCAGACUCCUACGGGAGGCAGCAGUGGGGAAUAUUGCACAAUGGGCGAAAGCCUGAUGCAGCAACGCCGCGUGAGGGAUGACGGCCUUCGGGUUGUAAACCUCUUUUAGUAGGGAAGAAGCGAAAGUGACGGUACCUGCAGAAAA
rnacentral:rRNA from 1 species